rnacentral:rRNA from 1 species
UACGUAGGGGGCUAGCGUUGUCCGGAAUCAUUGGGCGUAAAGGGCUCGUAGGCGGCCAACUAAGUCGGAUGUGAAAUCCCCAGGCUCAACCUGGGAACUGCAUCCGAUACUGGAUGGCUUGAAUUCGGGAGAGGGAUGCAGAAUUCCAGGUGUAGCGGUGAAAUGCGUAGAUAUCUGGAGGAAUACCGGUGGCGAAGGCGGCAUCCUGGACCGACAUUGACGCUGAUGAGCGAAAGCUAGGGGAGCAAACGGG